rnacentral:rRNA from 1 species
GACGGACGCUGGCGGCGUGCCUAACACAUGCAAGUCGAGCGAAAAACUUCGGUUUUUGGCGGCGGACGGGUGAGUAACACGUGGGUAACCUGCCUCAAAGAGGGGGAUAGCCUCCCGAAAGGGAGAUUAAUACCGCAUAAUAUUAGAUCUUCGCAUGGAGAUUUAAUUAAAGGAGUAAUCCGCUUUGAGAUGGACCCGCGGCGCAUUAGCUAGUUGGUGAGGUAACGGCUCACCAAGGCGACGAUGCGUAGCCGACCUGAGAGGGUGAUCGGCCACAUUGGAACGGAGACACGGUCCAGACUCCUACGGGAGGCAGCAGUGGGGAAUAUUGCACAAUGGGCGAGAGCCUGAUGCAGCAACGCCGCGUGAGUGAUGAAGGUCUUCGGGUUGUAAAACUCUGUCUUCUGGGACGAUAAUGACGGUACCAGAGGAGGAAGCCACGGCUAACUACGUGCCAGCCGCCGCGGUAA